GUUUUAAGGGAAAGGCUGCAUGGUUACCAGGAAGAACACCGAUGGGUUGGUAGACCAGUCUUAUCAGAAAAAUAAUCGAGUUGAGAGUAAUUGGGUUUACAUCAUGGAUUGAACUUUGGAAACUUCACUGACCACUUAAUUUAAACGUAAGUAGACAUACAGCAAACUACAGUUUCUGUAAAUAUUUGAUUAUAUAUGUGGUUUGGAUGUCACUUGCAACCCUUUC
ensembl:lncRNA